rnacentral:lncRNA from 1 species
UGUUGCACUACUCUUUCAUGCAGGUUACAGUGAAAUGUAGGAGUGGUCACCGACCGUCGGCCCUUGCUACAUACAAGUGCCCAUUGGAGGCAUUACAAAUUUAACAACUACAACAAAGAAGCACUAAAAAGCAUUUAUCAAAUUUAACAACCACAACAAAGAAGCACAAAAUUUAUCAAAUUUAACAACCACAACAAAGAAGAUCAAAUUUAACAACCACAACAAAGAAGCACAAAAAGGCACAGUUCAAAGCACACUUAACCUCACCUAAUUUGCAUGCUGCAUCCACACCUAUCACUCGGACAAGCUCCACACAUAAUAUACGUGUUCAUGCAGGUACACCUACAGUAAGUAUUUGUUACAAUUACAAAAAUAUAUUCCAUGUUUGUAUGUUCUGCAUCAUUGCAUACAUACAAGUGCCCAUUGGAAGCGUUACAAUAGAAUGUUAGCAAGGCAUUACAGCCGACAUCCGUCAAUGCAUAUAUAAAGAAGGCAAAUGAUUUGUCUAUUCCCAAGAAUGAUCAAAAUGAAAGCG